GUUUACAUUAGGGUUAAUCCAGCCUCUAGUGGCUGUCUCAUUGACAGCCGCUAGAGGCGCUUCCACGCCUCCAUAGGAAAGCAUUGAGAAAUGCUUUCCUAUGGACUGAUUGAAUGUGCGCAUGGCUCUUCCCGCGAAUGCGCAUUCGGCGGGUGAUGUCAGAAGAGGGAGGAGAGUCCCCAGCGCCAAGGGAGCCCGGCGCUGAAGAAAGGUGAGUGUUUAACCCCUUAACCCCUCUUGAGCCUGGCGGGAGGGGGACCAUAAGGGUGGUGGUGACCUUUUUACACCAUAGUGCA